CCUCCUUAUACGAUUUAGAACUUAUUUGUUCGUAGUGUCCACACAGAUGAUUGUUAGUUAGCUAAGCCACUGGCUUACCUAAUUAAUAUGCUCUUUAAAAAUUUGGAAAAGCUGAUAAUAAAAUUCGUAUAGAUAACAGUUGUUAUUUAUACAGAGUUUUCAAAAGUAAAAAAAUGCCAUUGAUUAUUCAAACGAAUAAUGAAUUGGUAUCUACUUUAGUAUUCAAUAUUAACUUCUGGCGAAGUUAAACUGUCACUAACAAAGACCCGUUUGGGUUGUAUGGUUAAGUGACUAAGCGUACACGGUGGAUGCCU
rnacentral:misc_RNA from 1 species